ACGGAAGGCAGCAGUGGGGGAUAUUGCACAAUGGGGGGAACCCUGAUCCAGCGACGCCGCGUGAGUGAAGAAGUAUUUCGGUAUGUAAAGCUCUUUAAGCAGGGAAGAUAAUGACGGUACCUGCAGAAUAAGCCCCGGCUAACUACGUGCCAGCAGCCGCGGUAAUACGUAGGGGGCAAGCGUUAUCCGGAUUUACUGGGUGUAAAGGGAGCGUAGACGGCAUGGCAAGUCUGAAGUGAAAGCCCGGGGCUCAACUCCGGGACUGCUUUGGAAACUGUUAAGCUAGAGUGCAGGAGAGGUAAGUGGAAUUCCUAGUGUAGCGGUGAAAUGCGUAGAUAUUAGGAGGAACACCAGUGGCGAAGGCGGCUUACUGGACUGUAACUGACGUUGAGGCUCGAAAGCGUGGGGAGCAAACAGGAUUAGAUACCCUGGUA
rnacentral:rRNA from 1 species